rnacentral:rRNA from 1 species
UGAUCUGAAGUCAAGUGGGAGUACCCGCUGAACUUAAGCAUAUCAAUAAGCGGAGGA